rnacentral:RNase_P_RNA from 1 species
UGAGCCGGAUGAUGGCGACGCGGAGGGUAUCCUCCGUGCCGAGGAAAGUCCGGGCUUCACAGGGCAGGAUGACGGAUAACGUCCGCCCGGGGUGACCCGCGGGAAAGCGCAACAGAAAAUAUACCGCUACGAAAGUAGUAAGGGUGAAAUGGCAGUGUAAGAGACUACCGCAUCUCUGGUGACAGAGAUGGCAUUGCAAGCCCCAUCCGAAGCAAGAUCAAGCAGGGGACCAUAGGCCUGCCCGGUCUGUCUCCAGGUAGAUCGCUCGAGCCGUGCGGCAACGUACGGCCUAGAUAGAUCAUCAUCAUCGGAUUUCCGAUACAUAACCCGGCUUACAGGCUCACUCAU